rnacentral:lncRNA from 1 species
UUCGAUUUCACAAAGAAAUACGAACCCAAACUCAACUAGGGAAGAAAAAACUAAAACACAGGAGUAAAAGAGAUAUAUUAUCUACCACCGGUUACUGGGUAAGAAGAUAAUAUACUCAAACAGAGGGACAUCCGUUAUCGGUUAAGGUAAAUAUAUCAAGGAUGACUCACUGAGGAAAAGGAGGAAUAUUCAUUAUCGGUUACUGGGUAAGAAUAAACUACUGUAGAAGAAGAAACCAAAUAGGAUUUACA